GACAAGGGUUCGACAGAGUUCGCCAAGUUUUGCACACUUGGCUAAGCUAAUUGGCUAGUUUUUGGAUAUGAAGGGAACUCAAAAUUCCAUGUUUUUAUAUUUGAUAGAAGCGCUACAGAGGUAGAAUAACAAAGCCCGAGAUAGAAGAAACUGACUAUGAAGAAGAGGAUGAUGAUAACUCAGUUAAAAUCUUGGAUGGUUUUCAACCCUGCCCAAGAAAAGCAAGGGAGAAAUCUCCAUUGCCAUGUCCUCAGCCGCACAAGAAAAUGAGAAUAUGUGUAAAGCAGAAUAUGCAACAUCAACUUUAGACCAAUAAGGACUCAAACUUCUGGAAUGAUGUUUGAGAACUCACUGAGAAACAAGGCCUCCGAUUGCUCCAAAUCAGAAAUGAAAAGGGAAGAUGAAUCAGAUGAUGAUUGUGUUGAAACUUUGGCCAAGUUUCCCCCCCUGCCCAAAAUCAGGGGACAAAUCUCCAUUAGCACCACCAGAUGUCAAAGAUGGUGUUGGGAGGAUGCAUGCAUCAACUACACAAGUGGAAAAGCUAUAGCUCUUUAAAGAGCUAUUGCUUUUGAAUCUGCAAGCCCUUCUUUCACUGUUGUAAUGCAUCCAUCGUACCUCCAGAAAGGUCUUUUGACUGUGCCAGUAGGGUUUGGUAAGAGACAUCUUAUGAAGCAG